rnacentral:rRNA from 1 species
CGAGUAGGACGGGACACGUGAUAUCCUGUUUGAACAUGGGGGGACCAUCCUCCAAGGCUAAAUACUCCUGACUGACCGAUAGUGAACCAGUACCGUGAGGGAAAGGCGAAAAGAACCCCUGUGAGGGGAGUGAAAUAGAACCUGAAACCGUGUACGUACAAGCAGUAGGAGCCCACUUGUUGGGUGACUGCGUACCUUUUGUAUAAUGGGUCAGCGACUUAAUUUUAGUAGCAAGGUUAACCGUUUAGGGGAGCCGUAGGGAAACCGAGUCUUAACUGGGCGUACAGUUGCUAGGAUUAGACCCGAAACCAAGUGAUCUAGCCAUGGGCAGGUUGAAGGUGAGGUAACACUUACUGGAGGACCGAACCGACUAAUGUUGAAAAAUUAGCGGAUGACUUGUGGCUAGGGGUGAAAGGCCAAUCAAACUUGGAGAUAGCUGGUUCUCCCCGAAAGCUAUUUAGGUAGCGCCUCGGACGAAUACUACUGGGGGUAGAGCACUGUUAAGGCUAGGGGGUCAUCCCGACUUACCAACCCUUUGCAAACUCCGAAUACCAGUAAGUACUAUCCGGGAGACACACGGCGGGUGCUAACGUCCGUCGUGAAGAGGGAAACAACCCAGACCGCCAGCUAAGGUCCCAAAGUUAUAGCUAAGUGGGAAACGAUGUGGAAAGGCUCAGACAGCCAGGAUGUUGGCUUAGAAGCAGCCAUCAUUUAAAGAAAGCGUAAUAGCUCACUGGUCGAGUCGGUCUGCGCGGAAGAUUUAACGGGGCUAAGCUAUACACCGAAGCUGCGGCAAU